GACGAACGCUGGCGGCGUGCUUAACACAUGCAAGUCGAGCGGUAAGGCCCUUUCGGGGGUACGACGAGCGGCGAACGGGUGAGUAACACGUGGGUGACCUGCCCUCAGCUCUGGGAUAAGCCUGGGAAACCGGGUCUAAUACUGGAUAUGACUCCAUGACGCAUGUUGUGGGGUGGAAAGCCUUGUGCGGCUGAGGAUGGGCCCGCGGCCUAUCAGCUUGUUGGUGGGGUGAGGCCUACCAAGGCGACGACGGGUAGCCGGCCUCGAGAGGGCGACCGGCCGACACUGGGACGUGAGACACGGCCCACGACUCCUACGGGAGGCAGCAGUGGGAAGUCUUGCGCAAUGGGCGAAAGCCUGACGCAGCGACGCCGCCGUGAGGG
rnacentral:rRNA from 1 species